GCUCCACCGGGCGGUGCCAAAAAGUAACCGUAUCUCAGAGGAGGUUUUGCUUGCCUGGUGCUGGCAGGUUGAUCUGGUGGGAACAAGAAAGGCACCUGUGGACUUUCUCAGCCAAGAUGGAAAUUGCUGCUAACUUGAUAAUCAACGUCAUCCACAUCUCUGAGGGUAGUAUAACAGCAGUAAAUGCCGUGGUGCCACCGGCAGUGAUCCCGAUAAUAUGUGCCACAGUGAUUGUUGUUGCUGUGGCUGUCGCCACGUAUCUCAUUGUAAAAUUAUUUAAACAUAAAAAGACUGCCUGAAUGCCAGAAAACGAGGGACACAGAAGGUCGGCCCACCUCUGUGUUGCUUUCUAUUGCGCUGAAUGCUGGCUUUGAAUUGGGCCAUAAGACACAAAUGGGCUUGACGGGGCUUCUUGUGUAUUUCUUUUCCUGGAUAGCCUGAAUAGCAGCUUCAUUUCAUGUGCUGUCCAGUGCUGCUUUUUUGCUUGUGUGAUUUCUUUAUACUACUCACACCUUUUAGUGUCGGCGUUUCUUCCAUUUGCUCCGCGAUGUCUUUCCUAGCUGCUCUGUGUGACACACAUUCCUUCCCACCCAUCUACUUCCUACAUAUUUUCUCAGGCAGGACAUUGCUUUUAUUUUUCUUGAAGUGCUUGUGGCCUGAUCGUUUUAUUUCAUUGCAUGAUUUUGUGCACUCGGCCUAAUAAACCAGUUUAAUUUGAGGCAGAA